UCUUAUAGAGCAGGUGGUCAUGUUUAUUUGUUUCUUAUACAUUCUCUUAUUCCUUGAAAACAAUAAACAAACUGAUUCCACGUCUACAGGAAAAGGCAACAUGAAGGUAUGUGUCUAAUAAUGUAAAAAUAACGUAGAAAUAACCAGAAGUGUUUUCAUUGACAAUAGAGGAAGUCGAUUUUGAGUCACAGCACAAUAAAGAAAAUCAACAAUCUCAAUAAAACUAGAGGACGGCAUUGCGUAUACAUACUGUCAAUGAUAACAUGAUUUCUCAAUAAGAAAGAUCAUGACAAGAGUCUGUAAACAGUGCAGAAGAUAUCACUUCAGUUCCAUGGACCUUUAUUCAAUAUCACAGUCCUUUCAUAGUUUUGAAGUAUACAAUAAAUUAAAUUCUUAUGGCUAAUCCUAUGAUUAAUAGCCACAACAUAGACAGACGACAUAUUCAUCACAAUUUCCUAUUUGUGUUCAUCAAAUCUCAAUUAAGAAAAAAACUCAGGUAAAAUAUUUUGUACAAAAUCAUAGACAAACAAUGAAAAACAAUGAGUUCAGAUAGGCAGACACAUUGAAAAUGUGGUCAAAGGUAACAAUCUGAGGUGAUUUGAGGUGAGGAAUUCUUGCUCAUCUUUAUAAUUCAGUGACAAGUUCAAAGUUGUCAUUUUUUGUUAGUUUUGCUCAAGAACUGCUAAAAUGUUUCCAUUUAAUUUUUCCAUUUCCAUCCCUUUUAAAAGUUAACAAAGUGUGAAACGCAUUGAGGAGCUAAAGGCUGCAGUGCUCCUGUGUUGUGACUGAUAGACCUGGUUUUAGGGCGACCUCCUUAGGAGACAUGGCUGUGUAUAUCUAUAUCAGACACAACAUAUCCAAGUAUUUGAACAAUGGCACUAGCUGGUGUUUGAAGCAGUGAAAAGGAAGCAUAUCAAUAAUCUGAGCACCAUGGUUUUGUGGGGAGACUGAUGUGGUCAAUAAAUGAAGUUUGGAAAUGAAGCUAAACUGUCCUUGGUGUCUGAUCCUGGAAUGUAAUUGUAAAAAUGUCCCCUCAAGAGACACUGAUAGACAGUUCAGUGGAACAUCACUCUCUAUCAGUGCCUCUAGACAGACUGCUGCAAUUAGUCAUCACCAAAAAUCUGAUGUCCACAACUACAAACCCACUGAGUGUUUCAUCUGAUCCUGGCUGCGAGUGCGGACCUGCAGCUGCCUCUCCUUACUCAGCUGUCGAUGACUCUGAAUGGCGAUCCAGUUGCUCUGCAGGAUGUUGGAAAUCUGCUGUUGCCCUUGGUUUUGUCUGUGUUCCUCCUGACUCUUGGUGUGGUGUUGAUAGUGCCUGUGUUGAUGCUUGUUCUGGGUGUGGCGGCGUUGAAGAACAAAUGUCUUAUGGUAGGUUGCAG
ensembl:lncRNA